AGAUAUUAGUAAAAUAAUUACGCAACUUUGUCGAAGUUAAUUUACAGGUUAAACCCCUGUAUAUCUUA
rnacentral:tRNA from 1 species